UACGUAGGGUGCGAGCGUUGUCCGGAAUUAUUGGGCGUAAAGAGCUCGUAGGCGGUUUGUCGCGUCUGCUGUGAAAUCCCGAGGCUCAACCUCGGGUCUGCAGUGGGUACGGGCAGACUAGAGUGUGGUAGGGGAGAUUGGAAUUCCUGGUGUAGCGGUGGAAUGCGCAGAUAUCAGGAGGAACACCGAUGGCGAAGGCAGAUCUCUGGGCCGUAACUGACGCUGAGGAGCGAAAGCAUGGGGAGCGAACAGG
rnacentral:rRNA from 1 species